AAUUGUGGAUAUUGUUUCUCCCUGCCAGCAUUGGGGCGGCUAACGUCCCUCAAAAGGCUUGAAAUUGAUGGGUUGAAUGGAGUGGAAUUAGUGGGGUCUGAGUUUUAUGGGCCUGCAUUUAAAUCUCUGGAGUUUCUGAGUUUCCGCAGUAUGCGGGAAUGGCAAGAGUGGUGUUUCCCUGGAGGUGAAGAAGAAGAAGGCGGACAUUUUCCUAAUCUUUGCGAGCUUAGUCUGGAGAACUGUCCCAAACUAACGGGGAAAUUACCGUUAUACUACUUCCCAAGACUUGAGCGGCUAAUUUUGCAGAAAGUUAAUAUCGAAUCCCUUGCUUGUUCGCAAGAAUGCAAUAAAUUCAAUAUUGAACUCCCAUCCCUCCGUGACUUGGGAAUAUCAGAUUGCCCGAAUCUGGUAUGUUUUGUGGGUGGUGGAGUGCUGCUUGCGCCCAACUUGAAGAGGAUAUCUAUGUGCCGUUUUAAAAACUUGUGGUCAGUGCCAGAGGAGAUGCACGCCUCUCUCCCGUCUCUUCAGUCUCUGUCCAUGGAAGAGUGUGAAGAAUUUAAAUCAUUUCCUGAAGAAUCUAAAUUCCCAUCCCUCUAUUAUUUGAAGAUAAAGGAGUGCCCAGAAUUUGUGGGUUUCCCCCAUGGAGGACUGCAAGCGCCCAACUUGAAGAUGAUGAAAAUCUAUGAAUGUAACAAAUUCGGGUCAGUGCCAGAGGAGAUGCACGCCUCUCUCCCGUCUCUUCAGUCUCUGUUCAUAGAAGGGUGUAAAGAAUUUAAAUCAUUUCUGGAAGAAUCUAAAUUCCCAUCGCUUGAUGAUUUGAGGAUAUACAAAUGCCCAGAAUUUGUGGGUUUCCUCUAUGGAGGAGGACUGCAAGCGCCCAACUUGAAGAGGAUGGAAAUCAAAGAAUGCAAUGAAUUCAGGUCACUGCCAGAGGAGAUGCACGCCUCUCUCCCGUCUCUUCAGUCUCUGUCCAUACUAGGGAGUAAAGAAUUUAAAUCAUUUCCGGAAGAAUCUAAAUUCCCAUCCCUCAAUAAUUUGUAUAUAAUGAAUUGCCCAGAAUUCAGGUCACUACCAGAGGAGAUGCACGCCUCUCUCCCAUCUCUUCAGUCUCUGUCCAUAGAAGGGUGUAAAGAAUUUAAAUUCCCAUCCCUUAAUCAUUUGUGUAUAAUGAAUUGCCCAGAAUUCAGGUCACUGCCAGAGGAGAUGCACGCCUGUCUGUCUCCCUUCUCUUCAGUCUCUGUACAUACAAGGGAGUAAAGAAUUUAAAUCAUUUCCGGAAGAAUCUAAAUUCCCAUCUCUCUCGUAUUUGAAUAUAUGGUAUUGUCCAGAAUUGGAAUCAUUUCCGGAAGGGGGAUUGCCGUCCAAAUUGCUUUCACUCAGAAUCGGGAGUUGUAAAAAACUGAUGGCAAACCGUAUGCGGUGGGGUCUACAAACACUCACCUCUCUCGAAAGAUUGGAUGUCAGCUUCUCAGAAUGUGAAGAAGAAGAAAUUGGCGAAUCAUUUCCAGAAGAGGGGCAGCUGCCAACCACUCUCACUUCUCUCGGAAUCUUCCAGCAUCCGAAUCUGAAAACAAUUGACGGCAAGGCGUUAAGACACCUCAUCUCUCUCAAGGAGUUGAACAUUUUUUUUUGUCCUCGACUCCAGAGCUUGCCAGAUGAAGGGCUACCCACUUCUCUUUCUGGUCUAGAAAUCCGCGAGUGUGAUUUGCUAACACAACGGUGCCGGAGAGACACGGGAGAAGAUUGGGCCAAGAUUUCUCACAUCCCCAAGGUAGUGAUUGAUAACCGAAAGAUAUGAUUUGCAAUGGUACGUAAUUCAUCAACGUGUGUUUAUGUGUUUAUUUACGAUAUGGCUGUGUAAAUUUUAAAUCAUAAACAUGUUUCAAAUGUUAAUGUUCACAUAAUAACAAAUUUUACAGGUACUCUUGUCCCAUAUAAACUUGAAAGUAUUUGCGAUAGAAAGAUACGGAGCUACAAAAAUUCCAAAUCGGUUAGGAGAUGACUUGUUCGUUCUCUCAUCUUGUUACUCUUCGACUUGUGGAUUGUGAACAUUGUUUUUCAAUGCCAGCAUUGGCACAGCUACCAUCUCUCAGAAGGCUUGACACUGAUGGGUUAAAUGGAGUGGAAUUGUUCCUCUUUUCUUAUUGUGUCUUACGGUGGUUCUAUUAUACGACAGUUUGUUGUAUCGAACUAGUCUUCGGUGAAAAAGGAGCUUCAACAAGUCUAUGAGCUCUAGUUUUCGAAUUUCCUUUUUCAAGUUUGUUUCCAAAUUAUGUCUAUUGAGAGGUAGAUUUUGGUACUUUGUAGAAUUCGAAUUCAAAUGUUUGGUUUGUAAAAUAUGGAUGAUGAUUUCAUUUCUGUGGAACUGUGAAUCUAUGAUCAUGCUUGAAUGUUGUCAGACCAUUAUCUAUUCUAAAAUUGAGGAGGGAUUUGACUGUAGCUUAGCUACAGUCAAAUGAUUGACCCUCGAUUUUGCUUUAUUUACAUCACUACCAUUAUAUCUCUGGCUGGGUUGGAAGGGUAAUUAUUACAACUUAGAAGGGUAAUUUUGUCCGUGGGUUUGAACCGAAUUUCACUUUUAUUUACAAAAUUGCCACCGCCUUUUCCUUCCCUCUUUCUCUCUCCCGACUCUCUCUCGGUAACCAUCCAUCAAAUCCCCAUCCUUCCCUUUUCUCACUCUGUAAGUCUCAUUUCCUACAACCCUAGAGCACCGUUUCUCUCUCAUUUCUCUCAAAUUUGACUCAGGGAGAGAGAGGGAAGGGGGACAGAAGGGUUGACAGGUUGGAGGGAGAGGAUCGUCGGGAUUAGGGGAGAGGAUUUUCGGCAGGGAGGUAUGGGUUUAGGGAGAGAGAGAGUAAGGGAGAAGUAUGGGGUAGGCGGAUUUCCAGGGAUUUCUUUUCACCCCUUCACUCACCACGAACCCACCUUUCCCUUCUUUUCUUCCGUCCUCAAAUCUUCUGAUUUCCCUCUCACAAAAUACCCACCAAGGAAACCCUACUUUUGGUUUAUUUUGGGAUUUUGUUUGCGCUCUCGAUUUUCAGACGACGGGCCAAUUGGUUGAUAUUUGGAUUUCUUCUCCUUUUGUCGAAACGCACAAAUUUUGUUUCGGUGGGAUUGGUCUCGAAUAGCUGCGUGUGUCUACCUUUCCAAGGUAUGGUGUUCACCGAUGGCAUGUUUUAGUGUGUUUCUGUUUUUUUUUUCUUUGUUUUGUAUUUCUAAUUUAUCGUUUGCUGCUUGACAAUGGUGAUUGUAUGUUUUAGUUUGGAUGUUUUUCUGAUUUUGGUUUGGUCAGUUUUUUUGGGCUGCUUGAGAAAAUGUGAUCCCAUGUUUUGACUGAGUGAAAUAAUUAAUAGAUAAAAAGAGUGGAGAAUUAGUGUCAAGAGUAGUGAUGGAAAAAAUGAGGAAAAAAAUAUAGAUGUGGAAGAAAAAGGGGGGGGGGCUGGAAAUCGAGCAAGGUGAAGAGAAAAAAAAUAGGGGUUAAGUGAGCAGCCAAAAGAGAAAAAAAAUGAGGGGAAAAGGCUUAAUUUGGGGAGUGGGCAAAAGAGAAAAGCAAGGGAAGGGAGACAGAACAGGAACAAGGUGUGGUUUUGUUGUUGGUUUUAUCCAAAUUUUUGAUUUGGCAUUGGUUUGAAGCUUAUGUGUUAUUAGUAUAGUCUAAUUUAGUGUUGGUUUAUCUAGGUUUGUAGCUAAUUUAAUGUUAAUGUUGAUCUAGGCGUUUUAAUUUGUUGUGAACUUAUAUGAGUUUCGUUUUUUAAUUGUUAUUUUACAGUUGCUAGGGAUGACUUUGGCUUUUAUAUUGGUUUGGGUAUUUUUUUUUUUCAUUUGAAGAUUUAGUGUCAUUAUACACCUUUGCACCACUGUUUGUUCUGUUUUUCUCGGUUUCUGUAUAUAGUUUUGGUACAAUUGGACUGUUCUUUUUAACUUAAUUAAAGUUUUUGAGACUUAAUUGAAUGAAAGUUUAGUGUGUGUUUUGGACUAAUGGUUUUGUGUUGUUAUGUGGGUUUGUGAAGAUGGAUGGAUGUGUGGCUCGGUUGCAGGAGCUGCAGUACACAGUUUCGGGCGGUACGAAGGUGAUCUCAGGAGUGAGUCUCAGCCCUGGGAGUUCUAGAGGUUAUCUCAGGGCUAGCCUCCGAUGCAAACAAGAAACUGCAAGGUAAUUGAGAAUCUGAUUUUAAUUUGAUUUGUACAAACCAGGAACAAAAAAUCCCAGCUUUUGCUUGAAUUUGAAGUUUUUGAUUUUGAUAUUGGAACUGAAAUGGGUCUUUUGAUUUAUGCAGGAUUAAAGGCUCAGCCCCUAGAAAAUCUCCUGUUGGCAAGUUUCCAGCAAAGGCAGGAGGUAUCUCCCUCUCUCUCUCUCUCUCCCUAAAAUCAUAGACGUAUGGCCAAAUGUGUUUUUUGACAAGAAAGUUUAUCCUUCACUUUUUUUCAAAGAACAAAAUUGAGUUUAGAUUCAAAAUCUGAACCUUUUGUUUUUGAAAAUACGACAUUCUAAACAACAGAAGCUCAUUACUUUUUGUUUUUUAAUAAAGCCAUUACCAGUUUCUGAAUUGAUUCUACAUUUUACUCUGUUUUUAUGCCUAAUACCGUUUGUUUUCCAUUGGGUAGCUGUAUAAGUUUUCCAUAAGCUUCGAUCAUCUCCCCAAUAAACCCAGAGCCUCCUUCUCUCCCGCUAAGCAAAAGAAAAUCAAGGAGGCCUGCAACUUCGUUUGCAGUCCGCCACUGCAAAUCAGUCUGGAAACUGGAUUCAAAGGUAAAACACACCGAUGUCUUUGAUUUUGGUCUCUACUGCACAGUUUGACAGACAAAUGAUAAACCUAACACAUGCAUGCUUUGAUUUCCUUGGUAGGUCAUAUUUUUCACUUUCUGGAUGUGCAAAGUCUGGAUAGUACACAUCACCGGACCAAACCUUUAUCAGGUAAGGAAUUCCAUCGCGUUUGUUGAAAAUAUUUGCUUCCUUUCCUCUCAUGUAUGUGUAUGUAUGAUUGUAUGUGUGUGAUUUUAGAUUGUAAUGCAUCACAAAUUUGUGGCAUAAAAAUUGACAUUUGUAGACUUACCCUUUGUUUGGUGACUGUGAUAAUUGAGAGAAAGGAAAAUAAAAUUUCGAAGAUUGAUGCUUUUAUGUGAUUUCUUGGCUCUUUUUUUCAUAUGAUUUUCAUUGUAUGUGUGCCAGUGUAUGUCUCUUCUUGAAAAAUACAUGUUGAAAAUGGGAGAAAAUUUUGGACAUGACACGUUUAGAAGUGAGGUUUUUCUGAAUGAAGACACUUUUAUGAUUUGUUUGUAAUUUGUUUUGCAAAUGGGUAGGAAUGUCAUUCUAAAAGGAUAUUGGCAGGAGAGGGUGGAAUGUCAUUCUAAAAUAUGUGUAAUUCAAUUCUCUCAUUUUCUAUAGCAGAAUUGCGGAUUUCUAAAUCGAAAAGGAGAAAUAAACACUACAGCAGUUUAUGCAGAAGGAGCAUGUAAAAGAGAAGCACAGGUAAAGGUUUAUGAGGUCAGUUUGCUGUUUUCUUUUUAGUGUUUUCAAUUUGUUCCUUUUAGUCUGGCUGCAAUUUUUUAAUCUCUGGUUAUGCAUCAAUUUCUCUGCUUCUUUGUAAAUCUUGCAGGUGAGGACAACACACUUAUCGGGGCAAUGUCGGGAUGUUUAGGCUUGGGUGGAGACAUGGACUUAUGGAAGAGGUGAAGUAGCUUAGGUUUCUGUCAUUAGCUUUAUCUGUUCUAUGCAUCUCUGCAAUCUUACAAUGCUCCUUUAUUUAAUUGCAAGAUGUUGGGGACCGGUUACUGGAAUACAAGAUUUGGAACAAAAGUGGUUGACAAUGCAAGAGUCGAAAGCAAGUGUGAAAUUCACAUUGAAAAUGACAGGUGAGAAUGCUAAUCAUAUUCUAAAAAAAUGUUGGGUUUCCUGAUGAGUUCUCUAGCUGAAUUCAAGAGGCUAAAUUAGUGAUUUGGAGUUAAUUUUGUAAAUUUAUUGAAUAAAGUUAUUUGUUAUUUAGCUUAUCUUGCGUUUGGUUUGGUUUUAGGAGAGGGUUACGCAUGAUCCGUAGCUUCAUUCAACCUCGCUGUUUUCGUUAGAAUCACAAUUAAAGGUCAGUUUUUCCAACAUUUUUUUUGCUUUUUGCUGCAUGUUUGUGCAUGUUUGGUCUCUGAGAUUUUGUUUUUAGUCACUGUUGAUUUGUAGUUUAUGUCUUCCUUUAGCUACAUAUUGACACAUGUUUAUUCUCAGCAUUUUUUUGUUAUGGUAAGUGGUUUGGGGAGUUCUGUAUUAUUAUAUAAUCUUUGGGGCUAUUUUAAGUAAAAAUGAAAUGUUGACAUUGAUAUAGCAUACGGCACACUUAAUUCACACUCCUAUAUUCGGUUUUCAUGUUUCCAUUGCAACACUCUGCAUUUCCGAGCCAAUGAAUUUUUUGAUAAAGAUGUACUUAAAGCAAUUACAUGCUCUAUCAAGUAUGUUUUAUAUGUGGUUGUGGUAGUUGCAAGGAAAUGAAAUAUUUGUGCUGAUAAUUGGUAGUUUAAAUAUAUAGAAAUAGAGAAGAAUUAUAAAUGGAGCACCUAGGAUAUUUAACAUUGUUUUCUUUUCCAUGUAUUUUUUCUCAUGUUUAAUAUCUGCUUUUGCUUAUGCAUAUGAUUCAAGUGCUAUUUUUAUUAGUGUUAAUUUUGGGUUGCAUAUCAACAAACUAACCCAGUUAAUUUUGCUUAGUGUUCAUGUAUAACGAGAACUCUCAUUGCAUCAACUUGAACAAACAUUCUUCUACUUAGUUGCUUAGCUGCUGCAACAAGAACGAAACACUUUUUAUGUGUUUUUGUUUAACUGCUAAAACAGGUGAUUGGCCUCCAGGACAUAUAUUUUGCCAUCUUAACUUUAAAGGCAAUACAUAUGUAAAAUGCAUGUUGCUUAGGGAAACAGAGCAUUUUUUGCAACCACAUCUUUUGUAAUCAGCUUAGUUGAAUGUAUAUAAAAGUUAAGCUACUUAUCUUACCUACACCGAUCACUCAUCUAUCAUUUUUGUUCGUUCAUGAUUAUGUUGAAUUUUUUUUCAGGUUAAAUGUGUCUUAUUCAUGUAGUUAAGGAUGGUGCAUUCAAGUCCCGCAGCAACGCGCGGGCAUUUUUCUAGUAGUAUCGAAAACCCUCUGUUGUUUACCAAUCGAUCUCAAGCGGUCUAGAUUCGAUUUGUUUAAUUAGUACUGCAAGAUGAUCUUAUCUACUAAUCAUGUCUUAUCAAAUGAUUACCAUUUCAUCAUGCCCUUAGGGAUGCAUAGAGCUUCAAAAGUUUUCAAGUUGCUGCGCAUGUGUAGGUUUGAAGUCGUGCAAUGAUAUGUACGCGAAACUUAUGAGCAAACAAAAGCAAACAACUCUUAUACAUAAAUGUCGGCUGCCAGAAAAUCUCAGUAGUACCAGAGAAGAUAAGCUUGUAAUAAAUUUCUAAUUCUCAAAACAGAGCAAACAAGAGAAACAAGAUCUACAUAUAAGUACCCCUAGUUGGCCGGCACACAGGAUUUCUUUUACGAGCAUGUUCUUCAUUAUGGUGCUGUGUCCGACAUGCAUAUCCAUACCAGCAAUUUUCCCUGUUUGAUGCCUCUGUGGGUAGAUGAUAUUUGGGAAUCGAAAUCCGAAACCAGUACAAGAGGAAGGAGAUCAGCUUCUCAUAACAGUAAUUGCACGUAGGUGUCCCAGAAGUUAUUGCCUCAGCAUGAUUCAGGGGCAUCCUCGUUCGAUCAAUUUCUCUGUUGUUCAACUUUGCAAGCCAUUCUGCAAUAACAUCCUGUGAUGUUCUCCCCAACUGUACAGUACACUUCUCAGUGAUCACUUGUUCAUGUCGAUUGUUUUCAUGAGUUGAAGUAGGGAUUCCAGAGAUGGUCCAUUCUGAGAUUGGUUUAAAAGUCUCGCGACUGCACACAUGGUGAGAAUCACUUUGUGAAACCCCUUGCGCAUGCCAAUAUAAACUGCAAAAUGCCUUAUCACAUCCUAAACAGUGUUGAGGUACACUUAUUGGUGCACGAAGGCAUCAUUCCUCCGCAUGCUUGACAUUGCAGAUGGAUAGUGGUUUGAUUGCAGCGGAACGCACCAUAUUCAGUACCACAUUGAGGGCAUGGAUUUGAUGGAUUAUGAGCUUCUUCAUCCACCUGGGAGCGAGCCCUUUUUCUGCGAAGAUGUUUUCCAGAGUUUACGACAAUAUUAGAUUGUAUUGUUGCAUAAGAGUCUAAAAUUGCCACUUCAUCAUUGGUGCGUUUUAGUGAAUAGAAGAGAACAAGAUCUCUGAGCAAACUACAAUCUCAUAUGAAAUAAUUUCAACAUCCGGAUAUCUCAAGUCUGAUGGAACGAGCUUGGCCCAGAAUUCUUCACAGGGUUUUGCACCCGAGCUCUCUCCAACUUCUGCCAUCCCUUGAAUAUAUUCACAAAGGACCCAGAAACCAUUAAUUUAGAUCUCAAAGAUAAGUAACCGGCCAUUGUUAUGUUCAUUUAAAAAGAAACAAGUACUUAUAUAUUCAACUAUUUAUGAGCAACAGAGCAAUUUUAAUUUCUAAUUAUCGAACAAAAUCUUUACCGCUAAUUAGAUAAUUCAUCCAAGUACGAAAAGAAAACAGAUUUGCACUCAAACAAGACAGAUUCAUGAAAUAUGCUAUGGUAACGCCCCUAACAUUUCAACACCGAUAAACAUAUCAACUUCAUGUUUCAGACAUCCUACAACUACAUAUAUUAGAUCGUAACAAUUCCAACUAAAUGUAAAAGCUCUUAAAGACCUAGUUUGGGAGUGAGGUGCUUAAAAAAAAAACACCUAUGAAAAAAAGCUGUGAGGGUUUUAGGUGUUUGGUAAACUGAAAAAAAAGGGCUUAUUUUGGAAGCUGCUGUGAGAAUAAGCUGAAAUCAAAGGAAAAAGCUGAAGUUGCUAUUUGCAGCUUUGGAAAACUGGCUUUUUUUCAAAGCACACGGAGCUACAAUGCUCCUUUAAUGAAAAGACCCACUAUCAGACUGAUUUUCUUUCCAAAAGCACUUUUACAAAAAAGUUUACCAAACGCUCUGUUGAUUUAUUUCACAGCCGCUUAUUCUCACAGCACAGCCGCUUAUUCUCACAGCAGUUUUUUUUCAAAGCACAGCAAUACCAAACCACUCAAAGCAUAACGACAUACUAGCAAAAUUCAUGGAAGAUAGUAAGUGCCAAUUAACAAGAGAGUCAAAAAGGCUUGAGGAGAAGGGGUCCCCAGCAGCGGCAUCAUUUCUGGCCGGAAAAGGUUCAUUCUAGUAAUAUAAUUUAUACCACAGAACACAUACAAACAGAUUUAAGGAGACACAAUUGUCAUUCUAAAAGAGACACUUUCUCAAUUCUUGAAUUAAAACCUGGACUCCAAGAUUGCAAAACCACAGAAUGUGGUCCCCUUUACAAAAAUGUAUAUCAUGUUUACUCUAUGUUCAUAGUUUGAACCUUCGUUUAUGCAAUCUCGCUCUUGUUUUUGUUCUCUUGUAUGACCUAAUUUUCACACAAUUCUCACCGGAAAACCAAUAGAAAUAUUUAUGAAAAUUGAUAGGUCUCACUUGGAAAUUGUUUCAAAAACCCUAACAACAAAAAUGAAAAGUUUGCAACUUUGGCCAAUAAACAAUCAAACGUGAAAAGAAUUUGAAACUUAUCUAUUUCUAAACACGUUUAUAACAUCUUAAGAGACGCGCAAUGUUGGUGAUAAAAAAGAUCAUUCACAUGCGGAUAAUAAUGUGAUUAAAUUAAUUGUCAAAUGACUGUUUUUUUUAAACGAUAUUAUCGAUACUAAGGGGGAGAGGUGUGUUUAGCCUCACAAUGGGCUAGCAACAAUGUGAUUCAAUCAGUUGUUUAUUAAAUAUUAUUUUAUCUAUUUUAAACACGUUCAAAAUAUCUUAAGAGGCAUGUAAUGCUGGUUAUAAAAAAAGUAUUUCGCACGAGGAUAAUAAUGUGAUUAAAUUAGUUGUUAAAUGAUUUUUUUUAACAAACGAUAUUAUUUACACUAAUGGAGAGGGGUGGGCUUAGUCUCACAAUGAGCUAGCAAUAAUGUGAUUCAAUCAAUUAUUUAUUAAAUAUUAUUUUCUCUAUUCUUAAUGUAAAUUCUAUAGAGACCGAUUUUAUUAUGUGAAUUCAGCUGGUUUAAUUGGUUUAUGAAGGGUUUCUUCUAGCAUGAUCUAAGAUUAUUCAUUUACUUCAAAUAUUUAACUUUCAUUUUGUCAAUUUACACACAAUAUAUACAUUUAAAAAACGUGUAAGUCGUGUAUAGCACGUCGUGAUUCAAAAAAUAUCCUCUGCACGUGCGUAAGCAUAUGCACGGAGGCUAGUAUAUACUAAAGUGGAAUGAGAAAAACAUUGUUCAUAAGAAACAAUGUUUUGACGUUUUUGCCCUCAUUUUUAGUGUUUCUGUGUUCCUAGUUUUUGUGCUGUUGAAAUCCCCACAUUACCAUAUAGGCAUACGUGUGUACGGAAAAAUGUUUUUCACGCGUGGCAUAAGGAAAUUUUCUCUGCAGCACCGUGUUAUUCCCCUGGGAGUCUGCAGCACCGCUCAACCAAAUUUUCUCUCAUUCCGUACUUCUCCACCUCUUCAAUCGUGCUGCACCGUGAAUCGAAACAAAAAACUGCUCUUCCAAAUCAAUUUCAGUUAACUCAAAUCCCUAAAACCCAAAUUUCUCCAGACCAUUGGAAUCAGUUUGCCUUUGUUGUUGCUAAUCUACAGGUAAAGCUUAAAUUUACAUACAAUUUUUAAUUUUUCUUGAUUGGAAUUUGGAAAGAAUUACAGAAAAUUGGCGAUGUCCACCGAGUCGGAUGCGUGGUGGAGACUCGGAUGCUCGCUUCCCUGACGUCACUACGCAUCGAUAAACGCACAUCAUUUCCGACUACGUCACUUCUUUCUCUCGCCUCCUUUUCAUGGUUAGCUCCUCCUCCGUAUUUACUCAACGCCUAAUUUUGGCCUUUUUUUCUUCCUUCACUGAUUUGUUCUAGAGAUCGCAGAUUGUUGAGUCAGAGAAGAGGUACAUUUCCAUUUGGGGUUUUUUCCCAAUUGAUUGAUGCUGUAUUAAUUUGGAAUUUGCCCAAUUGGGGUUUGAGAUUUUUGGUUUAUAUGGUUGUUUUGAACUUUUGAGAAAACCCUUAUUUGUUUUAUUUUUUAAGAAAAUUAAUGAAAAUGAUUUGAAAUCUUUGAAUUUUAGAAUAAGAACAAAAUAAAGGGUAAAGGGAACAAUAGCAAGAUUGACUUUUUAGUGUAAAAAUGUAAUUUUUCGUUAAAGUGAACAAUAUCGAGUAUUUUUUGUUCUUUAAGAGGGGAAUAAUGAUAUGAUCUGUAAUUAGUGAUUAGCUUAAUCACUUAUUCUUGGGAUUAUUAGGCUUAUUCAUGUUUUAGUGGAGUUUGUUAUAACUGCUAGCUGGCAUGAGGAGUCAUGACUGGUAUAAGAGCACUAGUUCUGAGUAUUGUAAUCAGAUCAGAAUUUACAACAAAGAAAAUAAAUACAAAAAUAUUUGGAGCUCUGCUCCUUCAUCUCUCCUUCCCUCUUCUUCCAUAGCUUUCUUGUGCUACUUGCAGGUUGAUUAAGGGAAUUGAGAAUUGGGUCUUAUCAUAGUGGAUCUUGACGAGCGGGCGGGCGGGCGGGCGAGCGAGCCAAGACUUAGUGGUUUAAGCUGGAGAGGUUUAUUUGGAAGAACCAAAGCCGUUUGAGCCGAUGCUGUAGCAGAUUGAACCGGUUCUACGCAGACCUCGCCAAAUCUCAGCCAUCAGAUUGCUGUCCGGACGAUCGCACACUUUGUCCGCAACUUAGACACGCCCUUGCAGUUAUAGCACCAAGGUGGGCCUGGGAGCAAACGGCUGAGAAGAAUUGAACAGAAAUUGGGCCAAACAGGAGCAAAGCGCUGCGCCAGUUGCUGUGGAAGGGAAUGUUGCUGAUGAUGCUGGACUGGGCCCGCAUAAUUCAAGGGCUGCGCUAGAUGCUCAAGCUGCUCGGCAGAGGGAUGCCAGGUUCCACGACCAACACCGCGUGAAUUAUUGUUAAAAUUUCCAUUUGCAAAGAAAAGAUUGAUCAUGGCGUUGAAGAUUUUUGCUUCUGCAGAUCCUCCUGGGUCUUUGAUUAGUUGUUAUACAUUCUCUUAACUCUGUCACAAAAUUUCCAUUUGCAAAGAAAAGAUUGAUCAUGGCGUUGACGGUGGUAGGUGGGGCCGCUCUCUCGGGUUUCUUCCAGCAAGUAUUUGUGAAGUUGGAUUCUCAGGAGGUCAGGAACUUCAUCAGAGGAAAGAAACUGACUGAUGGGUUGCUCAAGAAGUUGAGGAUCAAGUUGAUGUCUGUCAGUGCUGUUUAUGAUGAUGCCGAGCAAAAGCAAUUACGUAACCCACAUGUGAGGCUGUGGCUGCACGAGCUUAAAGAGGCCGUCCUUGAUGCUGAGGACCUACUGGACGAGAUCAAGACAGAAGCGUUGAGGCGGAAAAUUGAAGCUGAAUUUGGAAGUAGCACAAGCAAGGUACAAGACCUCAUCUCUGCUUCUUUCCAUGCUUUUGAUGAGUCUGUAGACACCAAGAUAGAGGAAAUUCUUGAGAGGCUAAGCUUCAUUGUAGAACAAAGAGAUGCCCUUGAUUUGAAAAGAGGUAGUAGACACAAAAUCUCACAAACAUUGCUUUCAACUUCUUUAGUAGAAGGCUCUGAUGUGUAUGGAAGAGAUCGUGAGAAGGAAACCAUCAUUCAACUAUUGUUAUCAAAUGAUGUCACUUGUAGUAAGAUUGGCAUUAUUCCCAUUGUGGGCAUGGGUGGGAUCGGAAAGACCACCCUUGCUCAGCUCUUAUACAAUGAUGAUAGAGUGCAGCAGCAUUUUGAGCUCCAGGCAUGGGUUUGUGUUUCUGAUGAAUUUGACGUUGUUAAGAUCACACAAACAAUUUAUGCAUCAGUCACUUCACGAACCUGUGAUGACCUAAACCAGCUUCAGGUCAAACUCAAAGAUGCUUUGGCGGGGAAGAAGUUUCUUUUUGUUCUUGAUGACGUUUGGAAUGAGAAUUACAAUAUUUGGGAAUCCUUAAGGCGCCCCUUCGAGUCUGGAGCUCAUGGAAGUAAGAUCAUUGUCACCGCAAGGAAUGGUGGUGUUGCAUCUACGAUGGGUACUCUUCAAACCCACUAUUUAAAGCACUUACUUGAGGAAGACUGUUGGUCUUUAUUUGCAAACCAUGCCUUCAAAGAUGCAAGUGUUAUUGUAGAUCCAAAUCUGGAGGUAAUUGGAAGACAAAUUGUGAGCAAGUGUAAAGGCCUUCCUUUAGCUGCAAAAUCGCUCAGUGGUCUCUUACGCUCUGAAUCAAAUGUGGAGGAAUGGGAAAAUGUGCUCAAAAGUGACAUAUGGGAGUUGUCAGAUGCAAAGAUUGACAUUUUGCCGGCUCUAUGGCUAAGCUACCAGUACUUGUCUCCGGAGCUAAAGCGUUGUUUUGCUUAUUGUUCGACAUUUCCCAAAGAUUAUUUAUUUGACAAGUCUAAAUUAAUUUUGUUGUGGAUGGCCGAAGAUCUUAUACAACCCCAAAAGAAGACUAGGUUGGAAGAUGUUGGAAAGAAAUACUUUGAUGAUCUAAUCUCACGGUCAUUUUUUCAAUACUCGUCUUCAAAUGAUUGUUUCAUCAUGCAUGAUCUGAUGCAUGAUUUGGCGACUUACGUAUCUGGAGAAUUUUGCAUUAGAUUGGAAGACCACAACUUCUCAUUGGACGUUGUGAGCAAGGGUCGUCAUUUUUCUUAUAUGCAAUAUUCAUCUAAUGUUGAUUAUGAGAGAUUUGACACUAUUUAUGAAGCUAAGUAUCUGCGCACCUUCAUUCUUGGCAAUCACUUUCCAUCGCCGAAAGUACGACUUGAUCUCCUUUUAGUGCUACAUUGUUUAAGAGUUCUCAAACUACGUGGGCAUGAUAUCACGGAGUUGCCUGAUUCGAUUAGCAACUUGAAGCAUCUACGGUACCUUGACUUGUGGUUCACUCCAAUCCAGAAAUUACCUGACACCGUAUGCAGUUUGUAUAAUUUACAAACGUUGUUGUUGUCAAAUUGUAUAUAUCUAGCUGAGUUGCCCACCGAUUUGAGAAGACUUAUCAACUUGCGCCAUCUUGAUUUCAGAGGUACAAAAUUAAAAAUGAUGCCCCCCCACAUGGGCAAGUUGAAAGAUCUCCAAACAUUUGAAGGUGAGUUUGUCUUGAGCAAAGAUGCCGGGGGAAACAUUGAUGAGUUAAAGGGGUUUCAGCAUUUGAGUGGAAAUCUUCAUGUGUCAGGGCUUCAAAAUAUCAAACGUGCUGAGGAUGCUUUGGAGGCCAAACUGAGGGACAAGAAGCUUAGUGACAUACGUUUGAAAUGGGAAGGUGACACUAUCGAUUCUGAAAACGAUAGCCGAGUGCUGGGCAACCUGCACCCCAAUACAAACCUAAAAGUACUGGUUAUAGAAGGAUACGGAGGUACAAAGUUUCCAGGUUGGUUAGGAGAUGAGUCUUUCUCUAACCUCGUCACUAUCCGACUUGAGACUUGUGGAUAUUGUUUCUCCUUGCCAGCAUUGGGGCAGUUACCCUCCCUCAAAAGGCUUGAAAUUUAUGGGUUAAAUGGAGUGGAAUCAGUGGGGUCUGAGUUUUAUGGGGGAAUUAAACCUGCAUUUAAAUCUCUAGAGUUUCUGAGUUUCUGCAGUAUGCGGGAAUGGCAAGAGUGGUGUUUCCCUGGAGGUGAAGAAGAAGAAGGCGGACAUUUUCCUAAUCUUUGCGAGCUUAGUCUGGAGAACUGUCCCAAACUAACGGGGAAAAUACCGUUAUACUACUUCCCAAGACUUGAGCGGCGUACGUUUGGAGGAAGUUAAUAUCGAAUCCCUUGCUUGUUCGCAAGAAUGCAAUAAAUUCAAUAUUGAACUCCCAUCCCUCCGUGAGUUGAAAAUAUCAGAUUGCCCGAAUCUGGUAUGUUUUGUGGGUGGUGGAGUGCUGCUUGCGCCCAACUUGGAGGAGAUAACUAUUUGCCAUUUUAAGAACUUGUGGUCAGUGCCCGAAGAUAUGCAAAUCUCGCUCCCAUCUCUUCCGUCUCUGUCCAUACAAGGGUGUAAAGAAUUUAAAUCAUUUCCGGAAGAAUCUAAAUUCCCAUCCCUCGUUGUUUUGAAGAUACAGGGAUGCCCAGAAUUUGUGGGUUUCCCCCAUGGAGGAGGACUGCAAGCGCCCAACUUGAAGGAGAUGGAAAUCAAAGAAUGUAACAAAUUCAGGUCACUGCCAGAGGAGAUGCAAAUCUCUCUCCCAUCUCUCGAGUCUCUGUGUAUAAGGGAUUGUCCAGAAUUGGAAUCAUUUUCGGAAGGGGGAUUGCCGUCUAAAUUGCGUUUUCUCAGUAUCUGGAGUUGUAAAGAACUGAUGGCAAACCGUAUGCGGUGGGGUCUACAAACACUCACCUCUCUCAAAUACUUGGAUGUCAGCUUCAGAGGAUGUGAAGAUGAAGAAAUUGGCGAAUCAUUUCCAGAAGAGGGGCUGCUGCCAACCACUCUCACUUCUCUCGGAAUCUACAAUCAUCCGAAUCUGAAAACCAUUGACGGCAAGGCGUUAAGACACCUCAUCUCUCUCGAGAAGUUGGAGAUUUAUUAUUGUCCUCAACUCCAGAGCUUGCCAGAUGAAGGGCUACCCACUUCUCUUUCUCGUCUAGAUAUCUUCCCAGUGUGAUUGCUAAAACAACGGUGCCAGAGAGACACGGAAGAAGAUUGGGCCAAGAUUUCUACAUUCCCAACAUAACGAUUUCUGGCCGAAAGAUAUGAUUUGCAAUGGUACGUAAUUCGUCAACGUGCGUUUAUGUGUUUAUUUACGAUCUGGCUGUGAAAAAUUUAAAUCAUAAACAUGUUUCAAAUGUUAAUAUUCUCGUAAUAACAAAUUUUACAGGUACUCCAGUCCCAUAUAAACAUGAAAGUAUUUGCGAUAGAAACAUACGGAGCUACAAAAAUUCCAGAUGACUCGUUCAUUCUCUCAUCUUGUUACUCUUCGACAUGUGGAUUGUGAAUAUUGUUUUUCAAUGCCAGCAUUGGCACAGCUACCAUCUCUCAGAAGGCUUGAAACUGAUGGGUUAAAUGGAGUGGAAUUGUUCCUCGUUUCUUACUGUGUCUUACGGUGGUUCUAUUAUACCACAGUUUGUUGAACGAACUAGUCUUCGGUGAAAAACGAGCUUCAACAAGUUUACGAGCCCUAGUUUCCGAAUUUCCUUUUUCAAGUUUGUUUGCCAAAUUAUGUCUAUUGAGAGGUAGAUUUUGGUACUUUGUGGAAUUCGAAUUCAAAUGUUUGGUUUGUAAAAUAUGGAUGAUGAUUUCGUUUCUGUGGAACUGUGAAUCUAUGAUCAUGCUUGAAUGUUGUAAGCCCAGAGUAUCGAAAACCCUCGGUUGUCUACUAAUCGAUCUCAAGCGGCCUAAAUUCGAUUUGUUUAAUUAGUAUUGCAAGAUGAUCUUAUCUACUAAUCAUGUCUUUAUCAAAUGAUUACCACUUCAUCAUGCCCUCAGGGAUGCACAGAGCUUCAAAAGUUUUCAAGUUGCUUCGCAUGUGUAGGUUUGAAGUCGUGCAAUGAUAUGUACGCGAAACUUAUGAGCAAACAAAAGUAAACAACUCCUAUGCAUAAAUGUUGGCUGCCAGAAAAUCUCAGUAGUACCAGAGAAGAUAAGCUUGUAAUAAAUUUCUAAUUCUCAAAACAGAGGAAACAAGAGAAAGAAGAUCUACAUAUAAGUGCCCCUAGUUGGCCGGCACACAUGAUUUCUUUUAUGAGCAUGUUCUUCAUUAUGGUGCUGUGUCCGACAUGCAUAUCCAUACCAGCAAUUUUCCCUGUUUGAUGCCUCUGUGGGUAGAUGAUAUUUGGGAAUCGAAAUCCGAAACCAGUACAAGAGCAAGGAGAUCAGCUUCUCAUAACAGUAAUUGCACGUAGGUGUCCCAGAAGUUAUUGCCUCAGCAUGAUUCUGGGGCAUCCUCGUUCGAUCAAUUUCUCUGUUGUUCAACUUUGCAAGCCAUUCUGCAAUAACAUCCUGCAAUGUUCUUCCCAACAGUGCAAUACAUUUCUCAGUGAUAACUUGUUCAUGUCGAUUGUUUUCAUGUGCGGAAGUAGGGAUUCUAGAGAUGGUCAGUUCUGAGAUUGGUUUAAAAGUCUCGCGAAUGCACACACAGCGAGAAUCACUUUGUGCAACCCCUGCGUGCCAAUAUGUACCACAAAAUGCCUGAUCACAUCCUAAACAGUGUUGAGGUACACUGUUAUUACUUCAUGAGGCGUCAUUCCUUCGCAUGCUUGACAUUGCAGAUGGAUAGUGCUUUGAUUGCAAACCCCACCAUAUUCAGUACCACAUUGAGGGCAUAGAUUUGACGCAGUACCAGCUUCAUCAUCCACCUGAGGGCGAGCCCUUAUUCCUUGAAGAUGUUUUCCAAAGUUUACAAUUCAGAUUAUAUCGUAUUGUCGCAUAAUAGUCUAAAAUUUCCACUUCGUCAUUGGGGCAAAAAAUCCGCUUUUAGUAUUUCCUCCGCAAUGUUGAGCAAGAAGUGAUCAUUUACUACAAUAUCUUCUCAUUGUGUUUUGUUCUAAUAGUUGUCCUAUUUGUUUCUUUUGUCUACCGUACUUUAAACUACCAUCACGAACAUACGAAAUUACUGUCUAUAGAGCUUUUCGGUUUUCUGGUAUCUGUUACAGCUUAAUACUAGAAAAAUUGCCCCCGCUCUGCUGUGGGGUUUCAAACUAUAAUUGACAACAGCCAUGAAUAAUAUUCAUAGAAAAAUUCACUCAAAAGGCAGCAGCAACACAAUCGCAUUCUCAAAUGCAGCAAUUUAGACAACGCACAUUUUACUUGAGUAAUUCCCACAAAAUCACAAAUUAACAGUCAUCUCCAAAUAAUUGAAAAAUCAAGAGAUAGGUGAAUCGAUACGGUAAAAUAAGCAGUUCAAUUUGAUUUUACAUUCUAUUAAGUUAACAUCAAGAGCCAAUAUAUUUAUGGUUAUGGUUUUCAAUCAGUGUUUUAUUGUCUUCUUUUUAAAUUAGUGGUUCUUUUCAAAUACAAAGUUUAGUCUUCUUAGCAAAGUCAUUAUUUUUUAUAGUGGUUGGUUGAAAUAAAGAGGUAGUAUGAAAUUGUGACCAUUAGACAAUAGUAUGGCUGUGAUCUAAUAGUAAAUGACCUUAAUUUCACACAUAAGUUUGGUUUCAAACUUACUACAUAAAAACAAUGUCAACUUGCAAGACACUAUAUGAACUGGCUGGAUAGCUAGUUGAAUAAGCUUGUUCCCCUGUUUUCCCUUUCUUUUGAGUAAUUUCCUCCUUCCCCUCCCUCCCCCCAAACCAUCUUCAUCCCAUUUUGCACUUUCCCAAAAGCCUUUUCUCUAUCCCCGUCUUCACUUUAUCACAUGCUUUUUUAUCCUAGCCAUAAUUAGACUAAUGGGAUUUAUACCUAGAGACUAAUGUGCUUUUUCACAUGCUUUUUUCUCUCAAAAUUUAUAGAAAUAUGAAAAUGAUCAUCACAAAUUUCAAAUCCUGCAAUAACCUAAAUUAAAACAAUUAUUCAAAUUCCUAAAUUAAAACAGCAUUUAGAAGCACUAUAAACUCAAAUCACAAACAUCAACAACAUGGUGAGAAUGAAGCUUUAUCUUAUAGAAAAUGAUAAAUCUUUCUCAACCAAUAUGCUAAAAAUGUCCACCACCAGUAUAUAAUAAAAAAACAGAAGGCUAACUUCAUCACAUAGCACCACCUUUAAACGCAUUUCUUUCAGAAAUUAAAUUAAGAAAAAAUUUGACAUUCACAUGCCACUCAUUAAGAAACUAAUACUAACUGAAGUUGUAUAUUGUAAAAUGCAACCGCUUUUAGAAUUCCUAAGUCAUAUCUGUUAGCAAGAAACCCAUACUAACUCAAGUUGUAUAGUGUAAUAACGCAACUGCAAAAAGACCAAGCUUCUGCUACUAAAAAGCUUUUACAAAAUCAUAAAACUCUUAACAGUUUGAACCCUACCGGAAAGUUUAUAUGAGUUGAAGAACAGUUGUACUUAAGUGCAGCAAGAUCAUAACCUCUUGCAGUUUCUCCUCCAUGUCAAAACCACCUGCAGUCCAAAUUAAGAAAGAUUCAAUGCCAGAUCAAGAACAAAAUAGUAAUAAUUUAAACUAAAAUCCUUAAUUAUUGUUGCAGAGAGAAUUCAUAUCAAGAUUAACUACAAUAUUUAAUUCGAACGGAAUCCAAAAGUAGCAUAAAUAUGAAAGGUAAAAAAUUAAUAGCAAAAGUCACAUUUCAGCAGCGAUUAAUAGCAGAAAUCAAAGUUCAGUGGCAGGGACCAAAUAAACCUCUGGAUUUCAGACUACUUAACAAAUUAGACAAACACAUAAUCCAAUUUCAUCUUUUUCCACUCAUUUUUUUCUUGCAACACUGUUGGGCACCAAACAUCACCAAAACCGAGCUCGCUGACACAUAAAUAAGCUACCGUACACUUUUUGAUGAGGUUGGCAGAGAGCUCAAUUUAGUGGCGCUCGUACCCUUUGAAUACGUCGCUCGUCUUUCCCUAAGUUUCUCUCUGCAUUCAACCCAUCACACAAUUUCAACAAUAAUUCAGUUUGAACGAUCUGAAAUCAAUGGAAUCGGAAGUAAAUACCUAUUUCGAUCGGAGAUUUGAAUGGAUCGCCGGAGACGAUGGCUGAAGAGCAGUGGCGGGUGUUUAUUUUUUGUUCUAGGUGGUGGUGGCGGCGGCUUGCUGUCGAAGCGAUUGAAACGGAUGGAAACAACAAUGUGCGCGAAAGGAAACCUCUCUCUCUACAUGUGACCCUUCCUUUCACCGCCAAAAUAAAGCAUCAAAACACCUUGGUUGCUCCUGUUAGAAGAGCCUUACUUGCUACUGUUCAGUGCCCCCACCCCUCCCUCUUUCUCUCUGCCUCUGCAACCCGCCUCUCUCUUUCUAUUUUUGCCUUACCGAAUGUCAGACCAUCCUCAGUCAAUCAUGUCAGUGGAAUCCUCACAAAAUCCCUCACUCAAUCGGGUCAGUGAUAACCUCCCUCAAUUUCCUCCCUCACCCUCGGCAACACCACCACUCUCCCAAACCUGAGAAUGACCAAAAUACCCACGCAAUUUCCAAUCCGAUGCGUCGGAUUUAGAAAGUAGAUAGGAUAAAAUAGGCAUUUGACGUUCAGGGCUUUAACCCAUUCAAUGGUCACCAUCGAAGCCCACUUCGGGCCCAAAACCAACAGCCCUAAAAGACCCAAAUUAUGGUCAGCGGUAGAGAUGUAAAUAUUCAGCCAAAUCUGAUGGCAUUAUUGUAAGUAACGUGAAAUAGAGGGGCAAAAACUUGACUGUAGCUACAGUCAAAUUCUUCCUCAGUUUUAGAAUAGAUAAUGUUGAGCCUAUGACAGCCAAAAUACAUAGCUUGUUUUCUGUUGAGACGCUUCUCUCAUAUCUGGCCAAUUAAUGAAGAGCAAACUACGACACCAUUAUUCAAAAUUUGACAAAGUGAAGUUUUCCUCUAGGAAUCUUCACCUUUCAAGCUAUAUAUUUUCUGGUUCUCAAUUCUUACAAUUUUCAUUGUUUUGUUGCUAACUUGUUUACUCACCGCUAUUCAAAAUUUGACUCUUUCUUUUGCGCUAAGUUGAUUUGCCCUGAAAUUUGCUAAGAUUGCUCAAACGUAUUUCUUUUACAAUUUUCUCUUGUGUUUGCUUUAAUCGCGUACUGACGUUGGUGAUUGAGAAAAUGACAUUGUUGAUGUCAAUGCUCAACUUUACUGUUUACUUUUUGUAUAGCUAAGUUUAUUGUAGCUCGAGAUACGUUCUUUAUAUGUGAGUAAGUCUUCCACCAAAUCAGAAACUAAAGCGUUUUAUAUACGUUGAAACGUGAUUGGAAGAUGCGUUGUCAUCCAUUCUUUUCGAUUUCCUGUGCUUGAGUUAUAUUAUUUCCUCCAUGAUUUGAAGUCGUUUCCGAAGUAUAUUUAUUGGGAUUUUGAGAUGCGCGUUCUGGUACUUUUUGGAAUAUGACUUGAAACUUUCAGAGCAAGCGCAAACCAGAGUUUACCGUUCUAAUUCCUCUUUUGAUUAUACAGUUAUAUUCUCAAUUGUCAUUACCUCGAGAUUACUUGGUAAUGACGUGAUUACACAGUUAUAUUCUCAACUUGCUAUUACCUCGAGAUUACUCGGUGGUAGUGACAUGAUUACACAUUUAUAUUCUCAGCUUGUCAUCAUCUCGAGAUUACUCGACAAUGACAUAAUUAGAUUUCAGCUUACACUAGUUACGGCUAGUGUAUGAUUUUGUAUGCAUGUAAGAUAGUGUCAGAGACCCAUUAAGUGUGGUCCUUCGGGGAUGCAAUAAAUGUGGUUACUUGCAGGUGUUUUAAUUUGGGCUUAUCCCUAUUUCGGUAGAUUUUAAUAGUUGAAAACUUGAGUUAUGACUUUAUGCAUAUUAUGGAUUCGUCACCAAUCCACGUGAUGGCCAGCUGAUAGGAUUUUUAGUAUUUGCAUAAAGAGGGUUAAAAAUCAUACAAAAUACUUGUAAGAGAACAAGGUAGUUGUAGUAAAAAUGCUCAUGUAAGGUCGUUCCCACAAGGAUUAUCUAAAACAAUUUAUGUAAAAAUAAAAUCUUAGUUAAUUAUUUGAAAACAAAGUUUGAAAAGAGUGGUUUUUCAAUCUAAAUAAUAAAAACGAAUUUAAUAAAAGUAAUUGAGGAAAAUCAACAAGAAAUUAAUUUUAAAGAAAUCAAAUUAAAAAGAAAUGGCCUUGAGAAAUAGAUUUGUAAAAGCAUUAGGGUUCCACUGUCAUCUUAACAACUCUUUGUAGAUUCACUAAUUACUUAUGAAUUACACAUGCAACUUUGAAUGUUAGGUUUUCCUAAUGCAUAUUUAACUUGUGGCAUUCAAGAUAGAACGUAUAUCAAACAUGCAAUCCGUCUAUAGCAUUCAUAUCAAAUAUAAACAUGCAUGACUCAUUAUGUUUUGUGAAAACCCUUUGAAAAAUCAUGCUACCUUUAAGACAUGGCAUUCGCCCUAAUUGACUUACAAUUAUUAAUCAUAAGAAGCAUUCCUCAAUUUCAAGGUGACAUUCCAACAUAAAUUGCGUCUGAUUGCUUAUCUAAACAUUCUAAUGGUAGCAAAGCAUUAAAACAUAGAGACUAUUUAAAUGCAGUGAUUAAUAAUUCAAAGCAUGCAUACAUAAUAUCAUAAGCAAUAAAAUAAAAACCACAUAUUCAUGCUAAGGCUAAUGGCCCCACCCUAGCAAAAGAAAGUUAAUUAUGCAUAUUCAACCAAAAGAGUUUUAUUGAAAUAGAAAAAGAGUGAAAACACCUUGUAGAAUAAAGUUUGAAAAUCUCUUAAACUUUGGCCAAAAUUCUCUCUCAUAUAUCACGUUGAAAAGAAGAACAUAGGGCCGGCCACAAUGGCUUAUUUAUACUACUUAGAAAAUCCAAUCCUUCCUAGAAAAUGACUUAAAAUAAAAUUAGGAGACCAAAUAAAUUGAAAUAAAUUAGAAAACAUAAUCCUAAAUUGACUAGGAUAAUCAGCUCAAAAUCUGCACAACGACGUUUUGGAUCCAAAUCUCCUCCAAAAGUGGCCCAAAAUAGCUGGAUUUAAAGUUUCAAAUAAUCUGAACACUUCUCCAGAAGGUCAUGAACCCAACAGAGGUCAUCUUAGGCUCAUAAAAUCGUAAUUAAGCCAAAAAAGUCACUUUUCAGCAUCACGCAUUGCUUUUUUAUUUCAUCGCUAGAAAAUAACCACUUGGUAGAAAAAAACCAAAAUUUUGACACGAACGAGCUAAAGGACUCACGAACGUCCUCCAAUUUGAAUCAAUUUAAAAUUCACCCGUUUGAUCACGUUUUGCUCCAAAGGAUGUCAAAUGUUUUAUAUUGAAAAUAUAAAGUUAAGUAUCAAAAUUAUACCAAAAUAAUUACCAAAACAUACUAAAAUAGGAUAAAAUAUAUAAUAUGACAGACCAAAAAGCUAUAUGGUAGGUGUGCCUGCUUUGUGACUAAAGUUCGCUCUGCUUUUGACCAAAGGCUCCUCCAUGCCUUGUGAGAUUUCCAAUCAGCUUCCAGCCGCCAUAAUACGGCACUAUUAGUAUUGUAUCAUUAUAUCUAUACGAAAACUUCAGUUGAUGGGACACGGUUUACCAACAGUGAUUUCACGAAAAUACCUUUGGUUUUUCUUCCCUUUCCUGCUUUGCUUUUUAAUCUUAAACAGCGGAUUUACAAAUUUCCCCUUACUAUUUGUUGGCUGGGGGUGCCACUACCUCUUAGAAGAUACCUGUUUGUUCCAUUUGCGUCCAGAAUCUCCCCAGUUCUCUCUAUCACAAACCACGAACCAAAAAAUCCUCUCUCUAAAAAGACCACGAACCCCAGCACAAUCUCUCUCAAAACCUGUUAACCACAACACAAUCCGGUCCCGAUUCGAAGAAAGCUUUAAGCCCAGAAAAAGUUCGGUUUCAUGGUGAGUUCUCCUACCAAUUUGGGGCUUCUUUUUGUUUUUUCUUUUUUUCUGGGUAGCAUGCAGUCUUUUCUGAGUUAAUGGUCGAGGCUUUGUUAUAAAAAAGAGUAGUGGUUGUGGGUCAGUUAGGUACUCAAGAUUCUUGAAUUCUAGAUGUGUUGAAUUUGGUUUUUUUUUUCACUAAUGGUUUUUUUUUCACUAAUGGCUUGCUUCAUAGAAUUAAUACAAAUACAAAAUGGAAAAAUGAUUUUAAUCCAUAAAUAAUAUUCAAAUACUUGAAAAGUUUGUUUUAAAUUGGGUUUGGUUUCAUUGGUUUUUCUGAUUUUGAAACUUUUGUUUUCAGGCUCCAAAGGCUUUUAGGGGCCUGUUUGGUAUGAUAUUAAAAAAAAAUCAUUAUUUCUCAAAACAGUUUUUUAAGAAUAUCUUUUAAAAACAAUUUUCUUUUAAGAUUCAAAAAUUUGUUUAGUAUGAGAUUUAAAAUUAUUUUUAAAUCUUAGAUAAGAUUGCUGAAAUUAAGUAUGGUUCCUUUGCAGGGGAGUUUGUUUUGAUUUUUUGUGGAAGAAUUCCAGUUUCCAGCGCUUCGUAUUCUUCAAUUACAGGUAAAUGAAUGUUGCAUGUGAAAUUUUUUUUCAACAAAUAAAGAAAACCCUUUCGUUGGGUUGGGCGAAGCCAUAUUGCUUCUAUUGGCAUAAAACUAUACAGCUGAAGAUUUUCUGUACUUAAUUAUCAAAGUAUGCGGUGGUUUGAUAAUUAAGUACAGAAAAUCUUCAGCUGAUAUCCUUCUUCUCUUUGCGUGAUAAAAUCAUGUUUUUUGGAUUAUGAUGCUUAUUCUGAUUCUUAUCUGUAAACCAUUGAUGAUAUAACAUUAUAGGCUUGGGGUAGUAGGUUUUGUAGUCUUUUUCCUGAAAUAUAACUGAGUACUUCAUAAUCGUUGCAUUCCUUGGUUUGUGAUUUUGUUGCUCGAGUACCGAGGUUUAUCUUUUGGUGCUCUCUGAUUGGUUCUCACAUUUGAGUCAUCUCACCAAAUCAUUAAUGUAGAUUUCCUCUUGAAAUUUUAGGUAGGUGGCGAUCUCUGCUUGGCUCUAUCAGUUGAUUCACAUAACCUAAUAAUUGAAGUCUUCUUUUCCUUGGGUCGGAAAAAUGGCAAUAAUUCUACUUGAGUUGAUAUUUCUUAAAGAAAAACUAAUGAAAAAAAAAUCAAAUCUUUACAUUUUAAUAAAAAAUCAUCUACUAACUUUAUUUAAUGAUAAAGACAAAAGAAUUAAAAAAAAACAUAAAAAACCCAACUUGCGCUGGGCGCAUCCCCCAACCCCCUUCCACACUCCACUUUUUUUGAUUGUUUGAUACAUUAAUAUAUUUUUUAUUUAUUUUAUUUUUGCUAAAAUAAGAAAAAGAGUUCAAACUGAAUUACAUUCCCCAGUUUUAUAUUUGUGGUGUUUUUUUCCCAAUAAUAGUCAAGAUGAUGAGAAAUUUUUCAAUGUGACCGGAGCACGGGGUGGUACACCACGUGUCUCUAUACAAGUUGUGAGAUUCUUGUGUUAAAAAAUUAAGUACACAAAAAAUAAAAAUUUUCACUACUUACAUAAUAACACGUGGUGUGCCACUUGUGUUAUGGGCACAAGGUAAAGUUUCUCCAAGAUGACACUCAAGCUCAAAAAAUUGGAUGGAGAGUUACAUUUAUUUUUGUAGGUAUGUAAAAAAAUGUGAGGAAAUUUUAAUUUAGUAAUUGAAAACAACUUUUUAAAUAUAAUUUUCGAGAACAUAAUCUUCUCAAGGAUUUGAUCUAAUGGAUCAUUUAUGGGUUUAUCGUUUUGGGCGCAAUGAGUGCUUUUACAGGACCAAAAAGAGUAAGUUUCAAACCUUAUGAAACUGAACCAAGAAGUAAACACUAUUUAUAAAAGUUGACCAAUAAGCAGACACUAUUUAUGAAACUAAAUCAAUAAGCAGACACUAUUUAUGAAAUUGAACCAAUAAGUAUACACUAUUUAUGAACGAAAACAAGAAUUAGACAUUAUUUCUAAAACUAAACCAAUAGAUGAAAAUUAUUUAUGAAACUGGACUAUACAAUAUUUACGAAACUGGACUAAGAAUUAGACAAUAUUUAUGAAACAAGAUCAACUAGGCAUUAUUUAUGAAAGUUGGCAAAUAACUAGGCACUAUUUAUGAAACUGGACCAAGAAAGAGACUAUUUAUGAAAUUAUACUAAUUACUAUACAUUAUUUAUAAAACUGGACCCAAUAACUAGGCUUUAUUUAUCAAACAUGAUCAGGAACUAGACACUAUUUAUGAAACAUAAUCAAGAUUUGGACACUAUUUAUGAAAUUGGACUAAUAAAUAUUGUAAUACCGUUCAGAUACUGCAAUUUAAUACAGUGUUUGGUUUCAUGCAUGCACGGGUCUUGUGUGUUAGGUAUUUUUUAUUUUUAAUUUAUAUAUAUAUAUAUAUAUAUAUUAAAAUUGUAUCAUUUUCAUUAAAAUUUAAGUUAUUUUGUCCUUUUGGAAAAUGUACCCAUGUUUUGGUACAAUAAAUUUUUUACUAUUAUUUAUGAAUGUAUAUACACAAUAUAUUGGAGAGUAUAAUUUAUCAUUUAAUAUUUUUAAUUCCACUAAUUAUGGGUUUUAUUUAAAAUCUCAUAAAUAUAAACAAUUAUAACUACAAAUUUCAAUUUUCAAUUUAAGCAUAUAAUAACUUACAUAUAAAUACAUUAUUUCAUUAAUGUCAGAGACCUAGAUCAAAAGCUGAAAACCAACAAGUUUAAUAUAAGAUCCAUUCUUAGUAUAACAUGUACCCAUUUCUUUUUAUAUAAGAUCCAUUCAAUUUUUUUCUAAUCUAUAUUUUAAACUUCUAUGGGUAUAUUCUAUUUUGUUGAUCUAAGAAUGUAUCCCUGUCAAGUUUAAUCAAAGAAAUUUAAUAAUGUUAUUAAGUCUUUUUUUUUUUUUUGUGGUUUUGGAAAAUGUACUCAUGUUUUGGUACAAUAAAUUUUUUUACUAUUAUUUAUGAAUGUAUAUACACAAUAUAUUGGAGAGUAUAAUUUAUUCUUUAAUAUUUUUAAUUCCACUAAUUAUGGGUUUUAUUUAAAAUCUCAUAAAUAUAAACAACUAUAACUACAAAUUUCAAUUUAAGAAUAUAAUAACUUACAUAUAAAUACAUUAUUUCAUUAAUGUCAGAGACUUAGAUCAAAAGCUGAAAACCAACAAGAUUUCAGUUAAAGAACAAUGAUAGUUAGGGACCGCAUCCAAACUCUCCCCUUAGAAAAUUAUUAUUCUAAGCAAUGCACAUCUAAAACUAUGAUAUCUCAUCUUAUCAAUCUUAGAUUUAAAUAGUGACUAGAGAUUACAAAGAGAGAUGAAAACAAGUUUAAUAACAAUUAACGAUUUUGUUAUUGCAUGAUUCAGUGAGUUUCUUACUAAAUAACAUCGUAGAGGAGAAAUGAUCACUUGUAGGAAAAUGAUUCAAUGAGUUUGUUACUAGAUAACAUUUGAUUCAUUUUUUAUUUGCUCAAUAAAACGAUUAAAAAGAAAUUAGAGUGUGUAUAAGUAACAAAUUAAUGAGAGUUUGUAAACUGUAAAAAGAAAUGAGAGUAUGUAAUGGGAUCGUUAGCAACAUAAUCAAGAAUAAUCAUAUGUUUAUCUCAUUGAAUCAGCAUUUUCUAUUUGUCAAAGAAUAAGACAAACAUAAUGAUGUCUAAAUUCUGAAGUUGGAAUACAACUAUGAUUCAUUGAGUUUCUAUUUGUCAGAAAAUGUAAGUUGAUGUCUAACUUCAGAGUUGUACGGCUGUAGAGUAUGCUAUUUAUUUCAUCUUAUACUCCAUAUUUGUGCUUAGAGAUAAAGCAAAAGGAUGUAUUAGAAACUUCAUCAAGCAGCCCUUUUGUUUUAAUGGUUUUCCGGUUGAUGUUUUGUUUAAUGGUUGCUCUUUUGCGACUAAAUUGGUGGUUUCAUAUAUUAAGUUCAAUUGUUAAAAAGUAGAAUUUUUCUUCGGUUUGGACGGUAUUUUUUCAUAUAUUUAAUUACUUACAUAACUUGAUCGUCUUUGUUUCAACUCUGUUUGCGUUAUGAAUAGCAGCUCUUUCCAAUUUAACAUGGAUUUAUUUUUACAGUGUAAUUAUCUACAGAAAAUUUCUCUAAAGAUGCUGACAAUGGAGGGACACUGAUUCUGAACACAGUGGGCAAGUCUUUACAAGCUAAUUCCGUAGGUAAUAGAAACUACGCCUUUUCUCUCUGCUUGCAUGCUUUUUAACAUAGAGAGAAAUUGAAAUUGUACUUUAGAAUUAGCGUUCUUUUUGAUGAUCUACUGCCUGGUAAGGGUUCUUGAAAUUGUAUUUUAGAAUUAGUAUUUUUCUUGAUUCAAAACAAAAGGUCUAUAAUUUCCUUCCUACAUUCCAUGUAUGUACAUAGUAUUGCGUGUCGUAAAUAUAUUUACAAAUUUUACAUGUUUUAUACGGUUUUGAAACCCUCAACAUAAGGGACCUAUGUUUCAUUUGUAUUUAUUUUUAGAACACUUCCAGCCCAGCCAAGUCCCCUGAGCGAUGAGCUUUGGAAUCCCCCUACCAAGAAAAAAAAAAAAACGGCAGCUCCAGCCCAUUCCAAUAACCUGGGCUCCCCUGGAUCCCCCACUUUUCCCCCAGGUCCGAAUUGACUGGCCCACUUUGAUGUUAGCCCUGAUUAGAAAAAUACAAAAAAUACAAAAAGUUAUAAAUUUUUUCUAUAAAUAGCUAGCCAUAUUUUUCCACUUUACAUCACAUUUCAAUAUUUUCAAAUACUUUUUAACCAAUCUUUUAUUGUCAUUUGAAAUUAAAAAUAAAAUUAUUUAUUAUUUUAUUAAAAAAAUAUUUGGUGGAGAUGCAUUUGGACAAUUACUGUUCACUAAAGGCCGUUACUAACUUACUAUUCACUUUGACCGAUUGGGCUGCCGACGAGAAAUGACUCCAAACGCAUCUACUUUUGUGUUGAAUUAGUUUAUUUGUUUAAACUACAUAAAGUCAAUUCAAUAACUCUUGGUUUGAAUUAGUUUAUUUGUAGCGAAAACUAACCAUGGUUUUCGUUACAUUGAUAUUGCUAGCUAAUUUGUGAUUAUCUUCUCCCAGCAAAACUCAAUUCCAUUUGCAAAGAAGAGAUCGAUCAUGGCGUUGGAGGUGGUAGGUGGAGCCGCUCUCUCAGGUUUCUUCCAGCAAGUAUUGUGAAGUUGGAUUCUCAGGAGGUCAAGAACUUCAUUAGAGGAAAGAAAUUGACUGAUGGGUUGCUGGAGAAGUUGAGCAUCGAGUUGAUGUCUGUCGAUGCUGUUUAUUAUGAUGCCGAGCAAAAGCAAUUACGUGACCCAAGGGUGAAGCAGUGGCUGCAUAAGCUUAAAGAGGCAGUCUUACGUGCUGAGGACCUACUGGACGAGAUCAAGACAGAAGCGUUAAGGCGGAAAAUUGAAGCAGAAUUUGGAAGUUGCACAAGCAAGGUACAAGACCUCAUAUCUGCUUCUUUCCAUGCUUUUGAUGAGUCUGUAGACACCAAGAUAGAGGAAAUUCUUGAGAGGCUAAGCUCCAUUUCAAAACAAAAGGAUGUUUUCGGUUUGAAAGAACGUUGUAGUCACAGAAGCUCACAAACAUUGCCUUCAACUUCUUUAGUAGAAGGCUCUGAAGUGUAUGGAAGAAAUCAUGACACGGAAAUCAUCAUUCAAUUGUUGCUAUCAGAUGAUGUUACUUGUAAUACGAUUGGCGUCAUUCCCAUCGUGGGCAUGGGUGGGAUCGGAAAGACCACCCUUGCUCAGCUCUUAUACAAUGAUGAGAGAGUGAAGCAGCGUUUUGAGCCCCGAGCAUGGGUAUGUGUUUCUGAUGAAUUUGACAUUGUUAAGAUCACACAAACAAUUUAUGCAUCAGUCACUUCACAAACCUGUGAUUCCACAGACCUAAACCAACUUCAAGUCAAACUCAAGGAUGCUUUGGCGGGGAAGAAGUUUCUUUUUUGUUUCUUGAUGAUGUUUGGAACGAGAAUUACAAUAUUUGGGAUUCCUUAAGGCGCCCCUUCGAGUCUGGAGCUUAUGGAAGUAAGAUCAUUGUCACCGCAAGGAAUGAUGGCGUUGCAUCUACGAUGGGUACUCUUCAAACCCACUAUUUAAAGCACUUACUUGAGGAAGACUGUUGGUUUCUGUUUUCCAAGCAUGCCUUCAAAGAUGCAAGUGUAGAUCCAAAUCUUGAGGAAAUUGGAAGACAAAUUGUUAGCAAGUGUAAAGGCCUUCCUUUAGCUGCAAAAUCUCUCGGUGGUCUCUUACGCUCUGAAUCAAAUGUGGAGGAAUGGGAAAAUGUGCUAAAAAGUGACAUAUGGGAGUUCUCAGAUGCAAAGAUUGACAUUUUGCCGGCUCUAUGGCUAAGCUACCAGUACUUGUCUCCGGAGCUGAGGCGUUGUUUUGCUUAUUGUUCCAUAUUUCCCAAAGAUUAUAAAUUUAACAAGUCUAAAUUAAUUUUGCUGUGGAUGGCCGAAGAUCUUUUACAACCCCAAAAGAAGACUAUGUUGGAAGAUGUUGGAAAGAAAUACUUUGAUGAUCUAAUCUCACGGUCAUUUUUUCAAUACUCGUCUUCAAAUGAUUGUUUCAUCAUGCAUGAUCUGAUGCAUGAUUUGGCGACAUACGUGUGUGGGGAAUUUUGCAUUAGAUUGGAAGACCACGACUUCUCAUUGGACGUUGUGAGCAAGGGUCGUCAUUUUUCUUAUUUGCAAUAUUCAUCUAAUGUUGAUUAUAAGAGAUUUGGCACUAUUUAUGAAGCUAAGUAUCUGCGCACCUUCAUUCUUGGCGUUCUCUAUUCGCCGACAGUACAACUUGAUCUCAUUUUAAUGCUACAGUGUUUAAGAGUUCUCAAACUACGUGUGCAUGAUAUCACGAAGUUGCCUGAUUUGAUUAGCAACUUGAAGCAUCUACGGUACCUCGACUUGUGUAACACUCCAAUCCAGAAAUUACCGGACACGGUAUGCAGUUUGUGUAAUUUACAAACGUUGUUGUUGUCAAAUUGUACAUGUCUAGCUGAGUUGCCCACCGAUUUGAGAAGACUUAUCAACUUGCGCCAUCUUGAUUUGAGAGGUACGAAAAUAAAAAAGAUGCCCCCCCCACAUGGGCAAGUUGAAAGAUCUCCAAACAUUUGGAGGUGAGUUUGUCUUGAGCAAAGAUGCUGGGGGAUACAUUGAUGAGUUAAAGGGGUUUCAGCAUUUGAGUGGAAAUCUUCAUAUUUCAGGGCUUCAAAAUAUCAAACAUGCUGAGGAUGCUUUGGAGGCCAAACUGAGGGACAAGAAGCUCAGUGAAAUACGUUUGGAAUGGGAAGGUGACACUGCUGAUUCUCAAAACGAUAGCCGAGUGCUAGGCAACCUGCAGCCCAAUACAAACCUAAAGGUGCUGGCUAUAAAGGGAUACGGAGGUAUAAAGUUUCCAGGUUGGUUAGGAGAUGAGUCUUUCUCUAAUCUCAUCACUCUCCGACUUGAGAAUUGUGGAUAUUGUUUCUCCCUGCCAACAUUGGGGCGGCUAACGUCCCUCAAAAGGCUUGAAAUUGAUGGGUUGAAUGGAGUGGAAUUAGUGGGGUCUGAGUUUUAUGGGCCUGCAUUUAAAACUCUGGAGUUUCUGAGUUUCCGCAGUAUGCGGGAAUGGCAAGAGUGGUGUUUCCCUGGAGGUGAAGAAGAAGAAGGCGGACAUUUUCCUAAUCUUUGCGAGCUUAGUCUGGACAACUGUCCCAAACUAACGGGGAAAUUACCGUUAUACUACUUCCCAAGACUUGAGCGGCUAAUUUUGCAGAAAGUUAAUAUCGAAUCCCUUGCUUGUUCGCAAGAAUGCAAUAAAUUCAAUAUUGAACUCCCAUUCCUCCGUGACUUGAGAAUAUCAGAUUGCGCGAAUCUCGUAUGUUUUGUGGGUGGUGGAGUGCUGCUUGCGCCCAACUUGAAGUGGAUAACUAUGUGGCGUUCUAAAAACUUGUGGUCAGUGCCAGAGGAGAUGCACGCCUCUCUCCCGUCUCUUCAGUCUCUG
rnacentral:lncRNA from 1 species